rnacentral:RNase_P_RNA from 1 species
UGUCGGCAGCGGACGGCCGCUCGCCGCGUUCGCGCGGCGGGAGGAAAGUCCGGACACCACAGGGCAGGAAGUCCGGUCGCAAGGCCGGAUACCACGGACGAUAUGCCGUGGGAAGGACAGUGCCACAGAGACCAUACCGCCUCGCGUUUCGGCGCGGGGUAAGGGUGAAAAGGUGGGGUAAGAGCCCACCGCCCCGUCGGGUGACCGCGGGGGCAGGGAAAACCCCUUCCGGUGCAAGACCAAAUAGGGAACGACGAUGUGGCCCGCAUCGCUCCCGCAGCCGCGGGAUAAGUUCCGGGUAUCGGUCGCUCAGAUGAAUGGUCGUCGUCCCGCCCUCACCGGCGGGAUACAGAAUCCGGCUUAUAGCUGCCGACAGCGC